GAUGAACGCUGGCGGCGUGCUUAACACAUGCAAGUCGAACGAUGAAGCUCAGCUUGCUGGGUGGAUUAGUGGCGAACGGGUGAGUAACACGUGAGUAAGCUGCCCUUAACUCUGGGAUAAGCCUGGGAAACUAGGUCUAAUACCGGACAGGAGCGCCUACCGCAUGGUGGGUGUUGGAAAGAUUUAUCGGUUUUGGAUGGACUCGCGGCCUACCAGCUUGUUGGUGAGGGAAUGGCCCACCAAGGCGACGACGGGUAGCCGGCCGGGGAGGGUGACCGGCCACCCUGGGCCUGCGGCACGGCCCAGACUCCUACGGGGGGCAGCAGUGGGGAAUAUUGCACAGUGGGCGCGAGCCUGAUGCAGCGGCGCCGCGUGAGGGAUGACGGCCUUCGGGUUGUGAACCUCUUUCAGUAGGGAAGAAGCGACAGUGACGUUACCUGCAGAAGAAGCACCGGCUAACUACGUG
rnacentral:rRNA from 1 species